rnacentral:rRNA from 1 species
CGGGACGGGUGAGUAACGCGUGGGUAACCUGCCUUAUACAGGGGGAUAACAGUUAGAAAUGACUGCUAAUACCGCAUAAGCGCACAGUACUGCAUGGUACAGUGUGAAAAACUCCGGUGGUAUAAGAUGGACCCGCGUCUGAUUAGCCAGUUGGCGGGGUAACGGCCCACCAAAGCGACGAUCAGUAGCCGGACUGAGAGGUUGAACGGCCACAUUGGGACUGAGACACGGCCCAGACUCCUACGGAAGGCAGCAG